rnacentral:rRNA from 1 species
AGUGAACGCUGGCGGUAGGCCUAACACAUGCAAGUCGAACGGCAGCACAGUAAGAGCUUGCUCUUACGGGUGGCGAGUGGCGGACGGGUGAGGAAUACAUCGGAAUCUACUUUUUCGUGGGGGAUAACGUAGGGAAACUUACGCUAAUACCGCAUACGACCUACGGGGGAAAGCAGGGGAUCUUCGGACCUUGCGCGAUUGAAUGAGCCGAUGACGGGUUAGCUAGUUGGCGGGGUAAAGGCCCACCAAGGCGACGAUCCGUAGCUGGUCUGAGAGGAUGAUCAGCCACACUGGAACUGAGACACGGUCCAGACUCCUACGGGACGCAGCAGUGGGGAAUAUUGGACAAAGGGCGCAAGCCUGAUCCAGCCAUCCCGCGUGGGUGAAGAAGGCCUUCGGGUUGUAAAGCCCUUUUGUUGGGAAAGAAAAGCAGCAGGUUAAUACCCCGCUGUUCUGACGGUACCCAAAGAAUAAGCACCGGCUAACUUCGUG